rnacentral:rRNA from 2 species
AGACCCGAAACCCGGUGAUCUAGCCAUGGGCAGGUUGAAGGUUGGGUAACACUAACUGGAGGACCGAACCGACUAAUGUUGAAAAAUUAGCGGAUGACCUGUGGCUGGGGGUGAAAGGCCAAUCAAACCGGGAGAUAGCUGGUUCUCCCCGAAAGCUAUUUAGGUAGCGCCUCGUGAAUUCAUCUCCGGGGGUAGAGCACUGUUUCGGCUAGGGGGCCAUCCCGGCUUACCAACCCGAUGCAAACUGCGAAUACCGGAGAAUGUUAUCACGGGAGACACACGGCGGGUGCUAACGUCCGUCGUGAAGAGGGAAACAACCCAGACCGCCAGCUAAGGUCCCAAAGUCAUGGUUAAGUGGGAAACGAUGUGGGAAGGCCCAGACAGCCAGGAUGUUGGCUUAGAAGCAGCCAUCAUUUAAAGAAAGCGUAAUAGCUCACUGGUCGAGUCGGCCUGCGCGGAAGAUGUAACGGGGCUAAACCAUGCACCGAAGCUGCGGCAGCGAACGUAUCACCCAAGACAACUUUACGGAGUUGACGAUUGACGGAGCGAAGCGACGUCAAAGCGUUCAUUAAAGUCGAGUUGGC